GCGAGGGAAGGGAGUGAUCCCUUCUCUUUCAGCUUGGCUCUUGCCCGGUUGGUUUGCCCUUGUGGGGUUGUGGCACCGCCGGCUUUCGUUUUAUGCUUAUGAGCUUUAUUUGAGUCUUCCGCUGCUACUCCUUCUGUGUAUGUUGGGACCUUGGACCCUAUGUUGUAUCAUGUACCUUGCCACUUAUUAUUCAUGAUAUGGUACUGUUAUGACUAUUAAUUGCUUACGAUGAAAAUGUGAGGCUAGUCGCAUUCCUGGGGACUAGCUAAGCAUGAGUAACGGGUUUUGAUCGCUUGAGAUAAUCGGAGAUAGCGGUUUGGAUCGAG
rnacentral:lncRNA from 1 species